rnacentral:lncRNA from 1 species
CCCGCCUCCCUCGCCCCCCCUUCAACCCCUACACCCACCCACACUUCGCUCCGGAGCCUCUUCCACAGAGAGCUCCACGCUUUGAUUCGGGAGCUGAGUGCUCCCCAGGUUAAAAGUGCUGCAGACCUGAAUGUCCCAUAACUAUGCCCCGGGAAGCAGAAGCGGACUGGAGGGCAGUAGGAACGGCCUGGGCCACGUCAUCACAACAAGAAAGGAAAGAGGAGGCUGGACUACUUUAAAACAACAUCGGC